rnacentral:rRNA from 1 species
CCUACAUUUUAGGUAAAACCUGCCCAGUGAUUAACGGCCGCGGUACCUUGACCGUGCUAAGGUAGCAUAAUCAAUUGGCUUUUAAGUGGAGUCUAGUAUGAACGGAUGGGGAUCAGCUGUCUCACCAGUAUUCAAUUGAACUUACUUUUUAGGUGAAAAAGCCUAAAUAUUUUAAAAAGACGAGAAGACCCUAGGAACUUAUUUUUGUUGGGGCGACAGGGGGUUUCUGUAAUAACUUGUCACUUUUCAGUAAGAAAAAGUUACCCUAGGGAUAACAGCAUAAUUUAAGAUUGUGACCUCGAUGUUGGACUAGGAACCUAGUAGGUGAACUACCUACUGUGAGUAGUUCUGUUCGAACUAAUACUC